UACGUAGGGUGCAAGCGUUGUCCGGAAUUAUUGGGCGUAAAGAGCUCGUAGGCGGUUCGUCGCGUCGGCUGUGAAAUCCCGAGGCUCAACCUCGGGUCUGCAGUCGAUACGGGCGGACUGGAGUUCGGCAGGGGAGACUGGAAUUCCUGGUAUAGCGGUGAAAUGCGCAGAUAUCAGGAGGAACACCGGUGGCGAAGGCGGGUCUCUGGGCCGAUACUGACGCUGAGGAGCGAAAGCGUGGGGAGCGAACAGG
rnacentral:rRNA from 1 species